rnacentral:rRNA from 1 species
CCGCAUGAAUAAGGACCGGCUAAUUCCGUGCCAGCAGCCGCGGUAAUACGGAAGGUCCGGGCGUUAUCCGGAUUUAUUGGGUUUAAAGGGAGCGUAGGCCGUGGAUUAAGCGUGUUGUGAAAUGCAGGUGCUCAACGUCUGCACUGCAGCGCGAACUGGUUCACUUGAGUGUGCGCAACGCAGGCGGAAUUCGUCGUGUAGCGGUGAAAUGCUUAGAUAUGACGAAGAACUCCGAUUGCGAAGGCAGCUUGCGGGAGCACAACUGACGCUGAAGCUCGAAAGUGCGGGUAUCGAACAGGAUUAGAUACCCUGGUAGUCCGCACGGUAAACGAUGGAUGCCCGUUGUCAGGCUGUUUCAGCCUGGUGACCAAGCGAAAGCAUUAAGCAUCCCACCUGGGGAGUACGCCGGCAACGGUGAAACUCAAAGGAAUUGACGGGGGCCCGCACAAGCGGAGGAACAUGUGGUUUAAUUCGAUGAUACGCGAGGAACCUUACCCGGGCUUGAAUUGCAGACGAAGGCUUCAGAGAUGAAGAGUCCCUUCGGGGCGUCUGUGAAGGUGCUGCAUGGUUGUCGUCAGCUCGUGCCGUGAGGUGUCGGCUUAAGUGCCAUAACGAGCGCAACCCCUUUCUUCAGUUGCCAUCAGGUGAUGCUGGGCACUCUGUAGACACUGCCACCGCAAGGUGUGAGGAAGGUGGGGAUGACGUCAAAUCAGCACGGCCCUUACGUCCGGGGCUACACACGUGUUACAAUGGCCGGUACAGAGAGUUGAUUUUGUGCAAACACGAUCUAAUCCUUAAAUCCGGUCCCAGUUCGGACUGGGGUCUGCAACCCGACCCCACGAAGCUGGAUUCGCUAGUAAUCGCGCAUCAGCCAUGGCGCGGUUAAUACGUUCUCCGG